GACGAACGCUGGCGGCGUGCUUAACACAUGCAAGUCGAGCGGAAAGGCCCUGCUUUUGUGGGGUGCUCGAGUGGCGAACGGGUGAGUAACACGUGAGUAACCUGCCCUUGACUUUGGGAUAACUUCAGGAAACUGGGGCUAAUACCGGAUAGGAGCUCCUGCUGCAUGGUGGGGGUUGGAAAGUUUCGGCGGUUGGGGAUGGACUCGCGGCUUAUCAGCUUGUUGGUGGGAUAGUGGCUUACCAAGGCUUUGACGGGUAGCCGGCCUGAGAGGGUGACCGGCCACAUUGGGACUGAGAUACGGCCCAGACUCCUACGGGAGGCAGCAGUGGGGAAUAUUGCACAAUGGGCGGAAGCCUGAUGCAGCAACGCCGCGUGCGGGAUGACGGCCUUCGGGUUGUAAACCGCUUUCGCCUGUGACGAAGCGUGAGUGACGGUAAUGGGUAAAGAAGCACCGGCUAACUACGUG
rnacentral:rRNA from 1 species